rnacentral:rRNA from 1 species
AUACGGAGGGUGCAAGCGUUAUUCGGAAUCACUGGGCGUAAAGGACGCGUAGGCGGGUUGGCAAGUCAGAUGUGAAAUCCUACAGCUUAACUGUAGAACUGCAUUUGAAACUGCUAACCUAGAGUAUGGGAGGGGGAGAUGGAAUUAGUGGUGUAGGGGAAAAAUCCGUAGAUAUCACUAGGAAUACCGAAAGCGAAGGCGAUCUCCUGGAACAUAACUGACGCUAAGGCGUGAAAGCGUGGGGAGCAAACAGGAUUAGAUACCCUUGUAGUCC